rnacentral:rRNA from 1 species
CCUACGGGAGGCUGCAGUGAGGAAUAUUGGUCAAUGGGCGGGAGCCUGAACCAGCCAAGCCGCGUGAGGGAAGAAGGUACAGCGUAUCGUAAACCUCUUUUGUCAGGGAACAAAGGCGGGGACUAGUCCCCUGAUGAGGGUACCUGAAGAAAAAGCAUCGGCUAACUCCGUGCCAGCAGCCGCGGUAAUACAGAGGAUGCGAGCGUUAUCCGGAUUUAUUGGGUUUAAAGGGUGCGCAGGCGGCCUGUUAAGUCAGCGGUAAAAGCCCGGGGCUCAACCCCGGCGAGCCGUUGAAACUGGCGAGCUGGAGUUGGAGAGAAGUACGCGGAAUGCGCGGUGAAGCGGUGAAAUGCUUAGAUAUCGCGCAGAACCCCGAUUGCGAAGGCAGCGUACCGGCUCCACACUGACGCUGAGGCACGAAAGCGUGGGUAUCGAACAGGAUUAGAUACCCGAGUAGUC